rfam:Arthrobacter sp. PAMC25486, complete genome.
GAGAGCCGGAUGCGGUGAGAGUCGCACGUCCGGUUCGGCGGGCAGCCACGGCGAAACCCGGCCCAGUAAUGGGCAAACGGGCGCGCCGUGGCUGACCCAAC